rnacentral:rRNA from 1 species
CAUGCCGUAAACGAUGAGUGCUAAGUGUUGGGAGGUUUUCGCCUCUCAGUGCUGCAGCUAACGCAUUAAGCACUUCGCCUGGGGAGUACGACCGCAAGGUUGAAACUCAAAGGAAUUGACGGGGGCCCGCACAAGCGGUGGAGCAUGUGGUUUAAUUUGAAGCAACGGGAAGAACCUUACCAGGUUUUGACAUUCAUUGCAAACCUAAGAGAUUAGGUGUUUCCUUUGGGGACGAUGAGACAGGUGGUGCAUGGCUGUUGUCAGCUUGUGUUGUGAGAUGUUGGGUUAAGUUCCGCAACGAGCGCAACCCUUGUCAUUAGUUGCCAUCCUUAAGUUGGGCACUUUAAUGAGACUGCCGGUGACAAACCGGAGGAAGGUGGGGAUGACGUCAAGUCAUCAUGCCCCUUAUGACCUGGGCUACACACGUGGUACAAUGGACGGUACAACGAGAAGCGAACCUGCGAAGGCAAGCGGAUUUUUUAAAGCCGUUUUCAGUUUGGACUGUAGGCUGCAACUUGCCUACACGAAGCUGGAAUCGCUAGUAAUCGCGGAUCAGCACGCCGCGGUGAAUACGUUUCCGGGCCUUGUACACACCGCCCGUCACCCCAUGAGAGUCUGUAACACCCAAAACCGGUGGGAUAACCUUAUAGGAGUCAGCCGUCUAAGGUGGACA